rnacentral:rRNA from 1 species
GAUGAACGCUGACAGAAUGCUUAACACAUGCAAGUCAACUUGAACUUCGGUUUGGGUGGCGGACGGGUGAGUCACGCGUAAAGAACUUGCCUCACAGCUAGGGACAACAUUUGGAAACGAAUGCUAAUACCUGAUAUUAUGAUUAUAUGGCAUCGUAUAAUUAUGAAAGCUAUAUGCGCUGUGAGAGAGCUUUGCGUCCCAUUAGCUAGUUGGAGAGGUAACAGCUCACCAAGGCGAUGAUGGGUAGCCGGCCUGAGAGGGUGAUCGGCCACAAGGGGACUGAGACACGGCCCUUACUCCUACGGGAGGCAGCAGUGGGGAAUAUUGGACAAUGGACCGAGAGUCUGAUCCAGCAAUUCUGUGUACACGAUGAAGUUUUUCGGAAUGUAAAGUGCUUUCAGUUGGGAAGAAAAAAAUGACGGUACCAACAGAAGAAGUGACGGCUAAAUACGUG